UUUUUAAAAUGCAUUCGGCAUCUAACUUGCAGCUUUGGGACUACUGUCACAUAACAGCAAAGCCUUAUAACAGUACAGGCUUUAGACUCUCAUAAAUUUAAUUUCCUUAAGUAAAGCUUAAAGCAGUGUUUUUUUGGAUGCUAGACCACUGCGUCUCUUAUUUCCCAGGAAUUUACUGAGCUGCUAUGCAUAUAUAUACAAAGCGGUAGGAAGAUAGGUAUGUGUUUAAUUUAAAAGAAGCUGAUGGUUUUGUUUACAGGAAUUACAUUCUAGUCCUCCAUAUCCAUUCCUUUCUACAUUCCUUUCAUUCAGAGGCUCAGACUGUUUACAUGGUCCGCUUCCCUGCCGUUACAUUAAACCCUGGAAAGAAAGACGGUUUCUCCAAAGAGGUCUGCUUGGCAAACUCCCCCCAGAGGAAUGGUCUGUGUGGAGAGCUGGUGGGAAUUUAAAGCCUGAAACUGUCAGCAUCAGCGCGGGGUGUUUGGCAGCAGUCCUGAAACGAGGGCUGCUGCUCGUGCUCCAGAUGCCUGCUUGCUUCUUAACAUCGCUGAGGAUAUGGCGUCCUUGGGCCUGGGACAUGCUGUAGCCACUUACUGGCUGUGUUUGUUCCUUGAAUUUCUUUCAAGUAAACAAAAUAUUUUCAGACACUUUCUCCUCCCAUCUCUGGCUUCGUGAGCAGGCAGUCCCAGCCAGAGCUUUGUGUGGUUCCCUCUGUUUCCAUCAGCACCAGUGCUGUCCUGCUGUAUGGCCCUCAGCCAGAAGGCUUCAGGCCUGCUUGCACCAUCCUUCAGGACUGUCUGUACUUCAGUGAGGCAUCCAGCUUUCUCACGUUCUUCCUUUGGGCCACCACUGAUUUUUCAGUGCUCUCCCUGCACACGUGAGCCUGAGGGGACAGAGCUGUAUGUUACGCUGCUGCAAGGCGUCCAUCCCUCAAUGCUACAUGUAGUCUUCAGAGCCCCAUAGACCUGGGGCUUUCUCCUCAGACAAGAUCAUCCCUGAAAUGAAACUACUGGGACAACAGUCAUGGGUUCCAACCUGUCAGGCUUUCAGUCAGGAUUUACAGCCAGAAAUCCUCCUCCUUGUGAUGGAUGGUCUGAGGGAGAAGACAAAUACAGCCUGAGCCUAAUCUGGAACUCUUCAAUGACAGAUCCAUGUCAGGGCUUUGGAACCACCUCUUGGUGCCAGUGGGUGCUGCCGCUUCUUAGAAAAGAGUCAUGAAAUCUUCUAGACUAAGGUACACGUAUGUGAAUACAAUAAAUACAAGGAGAGGAGAUUUCCUGGGCUCUGGGAGGAUGUGAGCAAAAUUAGGGAGGUUUGUGUAGGGUUCUGGGACAAUCUUGAUUAGCGGAGCAGAGAAUAUUUUGCCACUUCUGUGCAUUGGUCUUUUGUUUAGGAGAAAAACUGAUGUCGGCUCUAUUUGGUGUGUAACAUCAGUGCAUCGCCUACUGUGUGCUUUCCUUGUUGUAAUAAGAGAGUGUACAAGGAUAUGAAAUGGUUGACUGAAAUUAAAUGUGAGCUGUCAAACUGAUAGGACUGGUUCUGUCAGAAGAUGAAACUGUUGGUUUGGGCUUUUUUGGUCUAAAUGGAUGUUCAAAAUCUCAGUAUGUUAUUGCACAGUGAUGGCAUUGAACAAAAAGACUGUACUACCUGCCCCCUCCAUCUUUACCCCAAAAGCCUGGAAGAACUGUCUUCACUUCCCCAACCUAUUUGGCCUCUUAAUAAGCUCCGUUAAGGAUGUCCAGAUCAUUUGUUUGUAGAACUUCAUUUUUUUGUGUUGAAUACAGCAUAAUCUUGAAAUAACUCUCUUCGUACAGUUCUUGUGUCUGAAAAUAUUGCUGCAGGUGUCAGUCACAAAGUACUACAUAAAGUCUUCCCUGUACUGGUUUGUCACUUGCUUUUGGAACUGCUUUCUGGUACAAUAUUAAAAGUAUUCGCUAUAUUGAAUAUAAAAAGAUGUACUGCAUAUAAGGUAAAUGUAACUAAGACUGGGUAAAAGUUCUUGUGGUAUGUAUAGAAAAACCCUUUUCCAGACUUUCUUUAAUGCCUGGAUGAACAACAGUGUCUGAACUGACACUAAAAAUAGGGGCUGGACGUGAAUUUGGUAGAUGCUAUGUUCUGAAAAGCAGGUCAGUAUGUAUGUAAGAAACUGAACUGGCAGCCUGGAGUAAAAUGCUAAUGCAUAAAUAAAUAAGGGAAUUGAGUGUUAGAGUAAUCAGGAAAUAUAAUGUUCUAAUUCUUGCUUUGCAUAACUAACAGGCAAUUAACUUUCAUUGACUCAUGAUGUGAAAAGUGAUCGAGAGACGUAGAUCCUUUGCUUUGGUAACAGUCUGUCAGUUGGGAAGAAUGUUUUUCUUGACAGUUGAUUAGAGGUUACAUGAGCUGAAUAAAAUCGGUAAUUUUUGCUGCUUUUCCCACUUAGUAUAACAGCUAUUAUGUGAAGCAUUUUUCCUAACAUUAGUUGUAACGACUGGCUUUAACCUAUUAGCCUUGUUGGAAGAACUGUUUUUGAUUGACAAAGAUGUCAUUUUGGUAUGCUCAAGAUCUGCAAAAAUGGCCGGAGCACAUAGAAUCUGGAUCAAAGUAUUUUUAUUUAUUGACUUUGAUAGAUUUGGGUCUGCUCUGAAGCAAACUGCUCCUCUUAGGGAAGUAUGUGCUUGGUCUGAUCAUGCAACAGCUUAGAUGGCAAAGAAUGGAGCACCAGCAUCAUCUCAUACCUCCAUGAUGUGGUACCUGCCUUUAUCUGUGGGGAACCACACUGCGCCACGGGAGUGUUACCUCAGCUCCCGCAGACCAAGCAGGCAUCACCUCACAGCAGAUCUGUAAAGCUGCAGACACAGACUCUAGUCAUUCACAGUUUUGGAAGAGUAACUGCUCUCCAAAUCGCCAGGAGAUGUCGGCCUGCUCUCGCUCGCUGAGAGUGGCAUCAGUCCAUUUGGUGCUCAUUGACACUAGAUGAUGAAAAAAAAAAAAGAAUAGGGUGCUUUCUGAGCAGUGGGAAUAGGGAAAAGGGUCAACCCUGAAAAUAUUUACAAUGAGCUCUAACUCGUAGUAAGGCCUCUUUUAACAACGGCUGUGGUUAAACGGGUGCGUAUCAGUGUGGUUCCUGAAAGGAAUGGGCAUAUUUCUCUUGAGACUGCGGAAAAAGCAAAGGGGGGGGGGGGGGAUUGCUGUGGAAAAUGGUCACAUAAA